rnacentral:rRNA from 1 species
AACGGGUGGUAAUGCCGGAUGCUCCAGUUGACCGCAUGGUCCUCUGGGAAAGCUUUUGCGGUAUGGGAUGGGGUCGCGUCCUAUCAGCUUGAUGGCGGGGUAACGGCCCACCAUGGCUUCGACGGGUAGCCGGCCUGAGAGGGCGACCGGCCACAUUGGGACUGAGAUACGGCCCAGACUCCUACGGGAGGCAGCAGUGGGGAAUAUUGCACAAUGGGCGCAAGCCUGAUGCAGCGACGCCGCGUGCGGGAUGACGGCCUUCGGGUUGUAAACCGCUUUUGACUGGGAGCAAGCCCUUCGGGGUGAGUGUACCUUUCGAAUAAGCACCGGCUAACUACGUGCCAGCAGCCGCGGUAAUACGUAGGGUGCAAGCGUUAUCCGGAAUUAUUGGGCGUAAAGGGCUCGUAGGCGGUUCGUCGCGUCCGGUGUGAAAGUCCAUCGCUUAACGGUGGAUCCGCGCCGGGUACGGGCGGGCUUGAGUGCGGUAGGGGAGACUGGAAUUCCCGGUGUAACGGUGGAAUGUGUAGAUAUCGGGA